AUUGAACGCUGGCGGCAGGCCUAACACAUGCAAGUCGAGCGAGCGGCGGACGGGUGAGAAAUGUCUGUGAAACUGCCUGAUGGCGAGGGAUAACUACUUGAAACGGUAGCUAAUACCGCAUACCAUCAGAUGUGCCCAGAUGGGAGUAGCUAGUAGGUGGGGUAACGGUUCACCUAGGCGACGCUCCCUAGCUGGUCUGCGAGGAUGACCAGCCACAGUGGAACUGAUACACGGUCCAGACUCCGACGGGAGGCAGCAGUGGGGAAUAUUGCACAAUGGGCGCAAGCCUGAUGCAGCAAUGCCGCGUGUGUGAAGAAGGCCUUCGGGUUGUAAAGCACGUUCAGCGGGGAGGCGUUACCCGCAGAAGAAGCACCGGCUAACUCCGUGCCAGCAGCCGCGGUAAUUC
rnacentral:rRNA from 1 species